CAGUCGCCGCGGGAAUACGAAGGGGGCUAGCGUUGCUCGGAAUCACUGGGCGUAAAGGGUGCGUAGGCGGGUUUUUAAGUCAGAGGUGAAAUCCUGGAGCUCAACUCCAGAACUGCCUUUGAUACUGAAAGUCUUGAGUUCGGGAGAGGUGAGUGGAACUGCGAGUGUAGAGGUGAAAUUCGUAGAUAUUCGCAAGAACACCAGUGGCGAAGGCGGCUCACUGGCCCGAUACUGACGCUGAGGCACGAAAGCGUGGGGAGCAAACAGGAUUAGAUACCCGCGUAGUCCCUGUCUCUUAUAC
rnacentral:rRNA from 1 species